GACGAACGCUGGCGGCGUGCUUAACACAUGCAAGUCGAACGCUGAAGGCCCAGCUUGCUGGGUUGGAUGAGUGGCGAACGGGUGAGUAACACGUGAGUAACCUGCCCUCUUCUUUGGGAUAACGGUCGGAAACGGCUGCUAAUACCGGGUAUUCACUGUCCUUCGCAUGGGGGGUGGUGGAAAGGUUUUUUCUGGUGGGGGAUGGGCUCGCGGCCUAUCAGCUUGUUGGUGGGGUGAUGGCUUACCAAGGCUUUGACGGGUAACCGGCCUGAGAGGGUGACCGGUCACAUUGGGACUGAGAUACGGCCCAGACUCCUACGGGAGGCAGCAGUGGGGAAUAUUGCACAAUGGGCGAAAGCCUGAUGCAGCGACGCCGCGUGAGGGAUGGAGGCCUUCGGGUUGUAAACCUCUUUCGCUCAUGGUCAAGCCGCAACUGUGGUUGUGGUGAGGGUAGUGGGUAAAGAAGCACCGGCUAACUACGUGCCAGCAGCCGCGGUAAUACGUAGGGUGCGAGCGUUGUCCGGAAUUAUUGGGCGUAAAGGGCUUGUAGGCGGUUUGUCGCGUCUGCCGUGAAAUCCUCUGGCUUAACUGGGGGCGUGCGGUGGGUACGGGCAGGCUUGAGUGCGGUAGGGGAGACUGGAACUCCUGGUGUAGCGGUGGAAUGCGCAGAUAUCAGGAAGAACACCGGUGGCGAAGGCGGGUCUCUGGGCCGUUACUGACGCUGAGGAGCGAAAGCGUGGGGAGCGAACAGG
rnacentral:rRNA from 1 species